CUAAUUAUUGUUUCAAGGUUUGAUUUAUGGAUGCAUUUUUGCGAAUAUUUGCGGUUUACGAAGCCUCCAUAUCGUCCUGCGGCUUUGGGUCGAAGGUCGUCUCAGGCUAGUUUCGAACUCGGGAUUCGGCUCUUAAAUAAUUUUUAUUUUUCUGCUUUAACGAGAAGAGCAGAGGAGAGAAAGAGAGAUGGAAAGGUAGCGUAAAUAUCAUGUUUCAUAGUAUCUGUUGUUGUUAUUGUUUCCAGAGUCAGCACAACACUGCGUUACAAUAUUUACUCUCCUUUUUUGCAUUUGGCAAUUUGUUAAUUAAUUGAAACACACAACGAUGUACACUGUUUACUUUACUAUUUUUUUAACACGCAAUAACAAUUACUAUAUUUUGAUUUCCAGUGAAAAGUUACGCACAAUAUUCAACAACAACAACAACACACAGAGAUAAAACAUAUUUUGAAACAAUGAACUUUAAGCUUUAAUUGAAACACAAAACACAGUUUAUUCUAUUUGAUUGCAAGAGGGCCUGGAGUCUAAAAUACUAAGGGUUGUGUGCAUUGCAUUCUAGUUCAGAAAGUACUUAGAGGUCUUGUGAGGGUACGAAUAAAAUUUAAAACAAGACAAAAUAAAUUCUAUAAAAAAAAACGUAAACAAACUUAUUCGAUACGAUAGUCGAUUAGCCUUAUUCGAUAUAAUAAGUCGAUAACAGAUCGCGGUAACAGCGCCUGUUAAGCUGUUAAGGCGAACUAUCUGGCAACUCUGCAAACUGACAAGCUACCCCUCACUAACCCAGGAAAAGUUCUUUUGCGAUCCAGAAUCAAAAGGGAACGGUUGGAGUUAUAGCAAUUAAAAACCCAAGCCAAAUCCACAUCCAAAUCCCACGUGGGAAAAGUUAGUACCCAAAGUGGCACUCAAGUCUUCCACCAAGUGCAGCUGAAUAUUGACCGUGCACGUGCGCAGCCGUUGGCAUCAGCACGCGUGUCUGUGUAUGUGUGUGUGUGUGUCUGAAACAUUCAGGUCAUCCUCAAAACCCCGUAAUAGUGGGCGUAGAGCUACACCGGAGCCUACGACAAACAACGCUUCCCGUCGCGACCCAGAAGUCCACGGCGGAGCCACCGCGUGCCUUGCUGGGUAGACGUUCAGAAACCGCUUUCCUCGAUCAGCUCCUAAACGUGCGCGAAUCCGGACCAGACCCAAGCCACGAUAGGCGAGGAGUUCCCUGGUAGCCGGAGACGUGUGCGUGAUUGGGGCAGCAUAGGAUCAGGAGCGGUGCUGAAACUUUUCGAGGAACGUGGGUGAGGACAUAACCUCACUUUGUGAAGCAGCACCUCGUGUUCGGCAACAUGACCUCGGCCAUGUAAAGGGCAGUUCGGCGAUCGUUGCAGCAAUCAUUUAGAGGCGACUAAAUAACAACAGCAACAACAAGGAGACAUGCGCAAUAAAUUGUGCCAGUAGCAGCGGGUAUUUUUAAGUAGCAUUUAAUUAAAUUUCCUUUUUUGUAAAUUCUAUUGGAUCGAACCAAUACUCAUACUCUUUUCCUGUAGAGCAAAAUAGUUGGCAACAUAUACAUCGAAUCUUCGUAAUUUAAUUUAAAUUUCAUCAAAGCACCCUGCGCUCCAGUCUACAGGCCUGCGGACUUCGAGGGAUUUGGUUUCGUGAGUACAAUAUAGACUCGAUCAUGUAUUAUUGCCGCUCAAAGAAAGCGUAUGAAUAUUUAGGUAUCGUAAUGCAUAAAAUCUACUUUAACUAUUAUUUGACCCAGCUACAUAUAUAUAUAUAUUC